rnacentral:rRNA from 1 species
GUCCACGCUGUAAACGUUGCGAACUAGGUGUCGGGGGUAUUCACCCCUCCGGUGCCGAAGCUAACGUCUUAAGUUCGCCGCCUGGGAAGUACGGCCGCAAGGCUAAAACUCAAAGGAAUUGACGGGGGCCCGCACAAGCGGUGGAGCAUGUGGUUCAAUUCGAUGCAACGCGAAGAACCUUACCUGGGCUUGACAUCCCGAGAAUCCCUCAGAAAUGAGGGAGUGCCCGUAAGGGAACUCGGAGACAGGUGCUGCAUGGCUGUCGU